rnacentral:rRNA from 1 species
AACGAACGCUGGCGGCAGGCUUAACACAUGCAAGUCGAACGAGAUCUUCGGAUCUAGUGGCAGACGGGUGAGGAACACGUGGGAACAUCCCUUUCAGUUCGGAAUAACGUUGGGAAACUAACGCUAAUACCGGAUACGUCCUUCGGGAGAAAGAUUUAUCGCUGAAAGAUUGGCCCGCGUCUGAUUAGCUAGUUGGUGAGGUAAUGGCUCACCAAGGCUACGAUCAGUAGCUGAUCUGAGAGGAUGAUCAGCCACAUUGGGACUGAGACAUGGCCCAAACUCCUACGGGAGGCAGCAGUGGGGAAUAUUGGACAAUGGGCGCAAGCCUGAUCCAGCCAUGCCGCGUGAGUGAUGACGGCCUUCGAGUUGUAAAGCUCUUUUGUCCGGGAGGAUAAUGACUGUACCGGAAGAAUAAGCCCCGGCAAACUUCGUGCCAGCCGCCGCUGUAA